rnacentral:tRNA from 1 species
AAGGAUUUAAGUUAAUAAAACUAGUAACCUUCAAAGUUAUCAUUAAACCAUGUAUUUAAGCCUUA